rnacentral:tRNA from 1 species
UCCCUGGUAGCUCAGUUGGUAAAGAAUCUGCCUGCAAUGCAGGAGACCCUGGUUCGAUUCCUGGUUGGGAAG